GUGCUCCCAGGGUUAUCCCGGGGGUCCCAGCGCCUCCUCCAGCACCGCUCGCCGCUUCCUCCUCUCCACAGGCUCCUGCCGCCUCCUGCUCCCAACUUGCCGGUGUCUCUCCUCGCAAAGGACAAAGCUACCGGGGCACAGGGGAGUCCUCGCAGGGGGAGAGCGGAUUUAUUCCUGGAUGCUUCCUCCCUCUCGGGCUCCACUCAGCGAGUUUCUUCACUCCAUUGCAAGUUACAGCGCAGGCUGCAGCUGGGGUUUUCCCCAAACCAAACCUGGCUUCUCAUGCUGGUUUGCGGGCAGUGAAAUGCACCGAAGUGACUUUUCCUUCUGGGAUUUGCUUCCUGCCCAAGCUCGAGGACCUGGGUGCUCACAAGACCUGGGUUGUGCCCAGCAGCGCAGCCCCAUGUGGGCUGAGCUUCUCCGGAGCUGCCAUCCCCUUCCCAAGGCACUUGGAAAUCCAGCCCCUGACAAGGGGAAGGGAAAAGGAGAGGUGCUCUUCUGGCAGGAGAACCUCACCUGGCAGGGGCUCUCCCGAAGCAGGCAGGGUGAUCCUUCACUCCAUCCGCAGAGGUGCAGGCAUCCUCCUGCCGCAGCUCCGCGCCUUCCUCCGGAGCCGGGAGCCGCUUCCCUGCGCUUCGGGGCAGUACCAAAACUUCCCCCUGCCUUUCCCAGGUCCAGCUCCUUUCCCUCACAUGCUCUCUUGCCUCUUUCCUCGCUGUCAGUCAGAAAUCCCUCCCACGAGCUGUGCCCAGCCCCGAGCAGAGGAGGGGGAGGCCCUGCUCGCAGGGAUGGAGCAGCGGUGCUUCAGGGCUGUUUCUCCACAGGCAGCUCUUCUGCACUACCCGAGGCCAGCUGGGACACACCACCCCAAAUCCCUUUCCCAAAAGCUCGAAAAACAUCCCACAGAGAUUCGAUCUUCCCCCAUGCACUCCAACAGAUAACAAAACUGAUGGCUUCCCAAGGAAGUUCUGCUGGCAGGGACACCUCCAACUGCACACAGCAGCCUGCACAGUGGGAUGGGGAGGAGGAGGAGAGCAGAGCAGAGCAGGGAUGCUGCACUAAACAGCUCAAGCACCUGCCAGCAAACCUUCCCCAAGGGCCAGGACGAACAAGA
rnacentral:lncRNA from 1 species